AGUUUGAUCCUGGCUCAGAUUGAACGCUGGCGGCAGGCCUAACACAUGCAAGUCGGACGGUAGCACAGAGAGCUUGCUCUUGGGUGACGAGUGGCGGACGGGUGAGUAAUGUCUGGGGAUCUGCCCGAUAGAGGGGGAUAACCACUGGAAACGGUGGCUAAUACCGCAUAACGUCGCAAGACCAAAGAGGGGGACCUUCGGGCCUCUCACUAUCGGAUGAACCCAGAUGGGAUUAGCUAGUAGGCGGGGUAAUGGCCCACCUAGGCGACGAUCCCUAGCUGGUCUGAGAGGAUGACCAGCCACACUGGAACUGAGACACGGUCCAGACUCCUACGGGAGGCAGCAGUGGGGAAUAUUGCACAAUGGGCGCAAGCCUGAUGCAGCCAUGCCGCGUGUAUGAAGAAGGCCUUCGGGUUGUAAAGUACUUUCAGCGGGGAGGAAGGCGAUGUGGUUAAUAACCGCAUCGAUUGACGUUACCCGCAGAAGAAGCACCGGCUAACUCCGUGCCAGCAGCCGCGGUAA
rnacentral:rRNA from 1 species